UACGUAGGGAGCAAGCGUUGUCCGGAAUCAUUGGGCGUAAAGCGCGCGUAGGUGGCUUCGUAAGUCCGUUGUGAAAGUCAAAGGCUCAACCUUUGAAAGCCGAUGGAUACUGUGAAGCUAGAGUACGGAAGAGGCGAUUGGAAUUCCUGGUGUAGCGGUGGAAUGCGCAGAUAUCAGGAGGAACACCAAUAGCGAAGGCAGCUCGCUGGGACGUUACUGACACUGAGGCGCGAAAGCGUGGGGAGCGAACAGG
rnacentral:rRNA from 1 species